CGUGGGUAACCUGCCCAAGAGAUCGGGAUAACACCUGGAAACAGAUGCUAAUACCGGAUAACAACAGAUGAUGCCUAUCAACUGUUUAAAAGAUGGUUCUGCUAUCACUCUUGGAUGGACCUGCGGUGCAUUAGCUAGUUGGUAGGGUAACGGCCUACCAAGGCGAUGAUGCAUAGCCGAGUUGAGAGACUGAUCGGCCACAUUGGGACUGAGACACGGCCCAAACUCCUACGGGAGGCAGCGGCG
rnacentral:rRNA from 1 species